rnacentral:rRNA from 1 species
GAUGAACGCUGGCGGCGUGCCUAAUACAUGCAAGUCGAGCGAACAGACGAGGAUCUUGCUCCUCUGACGUUAGCGGCGGACGGGUGAGUAACACGUGGAUAACCUACCUAUAAGACUGGGAUAACUUCGGGAAACCGGAGCUAAUACCGGAUAAGAUAUUGAACCGCAUGGUUCAAUAGUGAAAGACGGUUUUGCUGUCACUUAUAGAUGGAUCCGCGCCGUAUUGUCUAGUUGGUAAGCUAACGGCUUACCAAGGCAACGAUGCGUAGCCGACGUGAGAGGGUGAUCGCCCACCUUGGAACUGGAACACGGUCCAGACUCCUACGGGAGGCAGCAGUAGGGAAUCUUCCGCAAUGGGCGAAAGCUUGACGCAGCAAGGCCGCGUGAGUGAUGAAGGUCUUCGGAUCGUAAAACUCUGUUAUUAGGGAAGAACAAAUGUGUAAGUAAAUAUGCCCGUCUUGACGGUACCUAAUCAGAAAGCAACGGCUAACUACGUG